GGGAAGCAUAUCAAUAAGCGGAGGAAAAGAAACCAACAGGGAUUGCCCCAGUAACGGCGAAGUGAAGCGGCAACAGCUAAAUUUGAAAUCUGGCCCCUCGGGGUCCGAGUUGUAAUUUGUAGAGGAUGCUUUUGGUGAGGUUGUGCCGCCCGAGUUCCCUGGAACGGGACCCACAGAGGGUGAGAGCCCCGUCUGGCUGGCCACCGAGCCUCUGUAAAGCUCCUUCGACGAGUCGAGUAGUUUGGGAAUGCUGCUCAAAAUGGGAGGUAUAUGUCUUCUAAAGCUAAAUAUUGGCCAGAGACCAUAGCGCACAAGUAGAGGAUCGAAAGAUGAAAAGCACCUUGAAAAGAGGGUUAAAUAGUACGUGAAAUUGUUGAAAGGGAAGCGCUUGUGACCAGACUUGGGCGCGGCGGAUCAUCCGGGGUUCUCUCGGUGCACUUCGCCGGUCUAGGCCACAUCAGUUCGUCGCGGGGGAAAAAGGCUUCGGGAACGUGGCUCCUCCGGGAGUGUUAUAGCCCGUUGCAUAAUACCCUGCGGUGGACUGAGGACCGCGCAUCUGCAAGGAUGCUGGCGUAAUGGUCACCAGGGUU
rnacentral:rRNA from 1 species